CCAGUGGUGGUUCAGUGGUAGAAUUCUUGCCUUCCAUGCAGGAGACCUGGGUUCAACUCCCAGCCAAUGCA
rnacentral:tRNA from 1 species